rnacentral:rRNA from 1 species
AUUGAACGCUGGCGGCAUGCUUUACACAUGCAAGUCGAACGGUAACAGGGUGCUUGCACCGCUGACGAGUGGCGAACGGGUGAGUAAUACAUCGGAAUGUACCCAGUAAUGGGGGAUAACGCUUCGAAAGGAGUGCUAAUACCGCAUACGCCCUGAGGGGGAAAGUGGGGGACCGCAAGGCCUCACGUUAUUGGAGCAGCCGAUGGCUGAUUAGCUAGUUGGUGAGGUAAAGGCUCACCAAGGCGACGAUCAGUAGCGGGUCUGAGAGGAUGCACCGCCACACUGGGACUGAGACACGGCCCAGACUCCUACGGGAGGCAGCAGUGGGGAAUUUUGGACAAUGGGCGCAAGCCUGAUCCAGCCAUGCCGCGUGUCUGAAGAAGGCCGUCGGGUUGUAAAGGACUUUUGUCCGGGAGCAAAUGCCUGGUGUUAAUAGCACUGGGAGCUGAGAGUACCGGAAGAAUAAGCACCGGCUAACUACGUGCCAGCCGCCGCCGUAAUAC